AAAUAUUAUUAUUGUUAUGUACCAUAUGCUUGAGAAUUUACAAAAUUAAAAACCUCCUCAUAUUAACCUUUAUUUUAGAUCUACAAAAUCGUGAUCUAGAUUUUAAGCAAAAAAAAAAAAUUGUGAUUCUCAUUUUAGCCAGAAAUGUGCAGCCUUAUUUCAGAUGAUUCAUAAUUAGGAAAAUAUUUGGCCAAGAUGCAACAGCUUGAAUAUCUGGAAUCUCUCUCUUUCUCCAGCGCUCAUCGUGUCCUCUUUUCUUCCCUUUUGUCAGCAUUCUGUUUUCCUCGUCAUGUACCUGACUCGACGAAGCAGUCAAAUCUUUGUAAAUUUUUGAAGAGCGCUGAGGUCUGCUGCAGCUCAGGGGAAUAAAGCGCUGACCCAGAAUCAGUAGUGACGUCCUCAUCAUCAUCAUGAGUGCUGACAGCAGCCUGCGCUCGGCCGACAGCCACUACAACAACAACAGCAGCAGCAGUAGCAAAUGAAGGAGAACACGACCUUAAAACGACCUCUCCGAACCCCUGCUGUCCUGACCGACACUCAAAUGAGUCCUGAACUCACCUGCCGGCGCCCUGCUGUCUCUCGCCCUCAUGUUCCUGCAUCCAAACGCCACGUCCGAUCCGACAGCACUGCCUAGAGAUUCAUUGCAGAG
ensembl:processed_transcript